AAUGCCUUAACUCUGUGUCUCCCUCUCAGACUCACUCAAUCUAUCUCUCGAUUCUGUCUGAUUCUCUCAAGCUUCUAUCUCCAUCUCUCGCUCAAUUCUCUCAAACUCCUAUCUCCUUCUCUCUCCCUCUCUCACACUCUCUAUAUCUCAUACUCACUACCUCAAGCUUCUUUCUCCCUCUCUCGCACUCUUUGUGUUUCUUUGUCUCUCUGACUAUCUCGCUAUCCACGGUACUCUGACGCCACACCCUCUCCAUGACGUAGCAAUAUUACUAGGUAAGCACCUAGUAAUUACAACAUUUAGGGAUUUAAGGUUAAAAUUAGGUUGGAAUUAAGGGAUUUAGUAUACAUCCAAAUCCAUGUAUGUUUAUAAUCAGUCUAUGUCUUAUCGAAUCUUCAUGACUCUCAUGGAUUGAUAGCAAUUUAAGCAUAUCAUGUUGGAUAACAAAGUGUUCACCAUAGUAUCCAUCCAAAUCCUCAUUCCUGGUUGUGAUCAAAAUUUAGUUUCAUAGAAGAAAUUUCUAAAAGACCAUAUCAAAAUAGUAAAUUAGUUACAAAAGUAUAGUUUACAUACCUUGUGACUACAAGACUGGCCAAAUGGCGGUGAGCUCAUAGAGGUUCACCAUUGACACAUUAUCAUUUGAUCCCUCAUAUAACUCUGCCCACAUAUCAAGGAGGGCAUCAACAAGGAUUCUUUGGUAUUGGGGAAAUAAAGCAAGGUCUAUGAAAUAAUCAUUGACAGGGGCCAUUUCUAUAUUCAGUCAUCUAAGCAACUUUUGAGGAGUGCAAGCAAAUUUUUCUCUGAAUCAAGAAUAGAAGAAAUUUUUGAUAAUUAUGUGUUUGAUUCUCCAUUUGUCUAUAGGCUGAUUGCGAAAUGACAUCCCUUUCAUGCAUGAGUUUUUUGCUUUAUUUUUUUAUGAUAUGUGACAUGCAUUACAAAGUAAGCCUUCAUAUUAGAACCUAUUAUGUGAAAUGCUUUGGUAUUUGUACAAGUUAGAAAAUAAAAUUGAGCUUCUAUCACUCUUUGGAUACAUAAAGCAACUAGUGUGAUGUUUGUGUGAUUGAAAGAUCAAAUAACUUAUAAUUAGUGGCUUCAAGCAUUGAAGAAAUCAUGGUUUAUGGUUUUUUGGGUUUUGUUGUGUUGUUUUUCAUUCACCUUAUAUAUGUGAAAUGAAAUGCAUAUAAUAAUUUGAUUAUCUCAUGAUUGUUUUUGUAGAUGUCAAACUUAAUAUCAAACCAGCGGGCAGCUAGUAGGGGCAGUGAGA
rnacentral:lncRNA from 1 species